AGAUUCCGGACUCAGAAAAAGAGUUGGAACUGUGGUGUGGUUUUAGAGUGCAGGAGGAGUGAGAAGGGAUUGGGAACAGAUCUGGACCUGACAAUGAAAAUGCCUCUGGGCACCUCCCUGCUCUGUUUCCCCAAAGACUCAGUGGCCUUGCUUGCUUCAUAUACACAGAUAUUUAUGUGGCAACUGGACAUAAAGCAUUCUGAGGAAAAGCAAAAUUAAAACUCCCAGAAAUCAAACAGAAAGUAAAAUCUUUAAGAAAAGGACUAAAAUUAACAAGAAAUACAGAAUUUAAAACUUUGGUCGCAAUGAAGAGAUGGCGAUAUGACAGAACUCUCAGGCUAACAAUGUAAACCUUCACUUUCAAUUUCUCAUACUUUUUGUCUCCAGCUGAACAAAAUAAAAGCCCAGGAGGAAGCGCA
rnacentral:antisense_RNA from 1 species